rnacentral:rRNA from 1 species
GCUCGAGUGGCGAACGGGUGAGUAACACGUGAGUAACCUGCCCUUGACUUUGGGAUAACUUCAGGAAACUGGGGCUAAUACCGGAUAGGAGCUCCUGCUGCAUGGUGGGGGUUGGAAAGUUUCGGCGGUUGGGGAUGGACUCGCGGCUUAUCAGCUUGUUGGUGGGGUAGUGGCUUACCAAGGCUUUGACGGGUAGCCGGCCUGAGAGGGUGACCGGCCACAUUGGGACUGAGAUCCGGCCCAG